rnacentral:rRNA from 1 species
UACGAAGGGGGCUAGCGUUGCUCGGAAUCACUGGGCGUAAAGCGCACGUAGGCGGCUUUCUAAGUCGGGGGUGAAAUCCUGGAGCUCAACUCCAGAACUGCCUUCGAUACUGGAGAGCUUGAGUCCGGGAGAGGUGAGUGGAACUGCGAGUGUAGAGGUGAAAUUCGUAGAUAUUCGCAAGAACACCAGUGGCGAAGGCGGCUCACUGGCCCGGUACUGACGCUGAGGUGCGAAAGCGUGGGGAGCAAACAGG